AGCAAGCAUGGUUCACACAAGAAUUACCCAUUAAUGUGAGUUUUGGUGUUGGUCUCGGUGCCUGAUUCAAGAUGGUACAAGCUCCCCCGUGCAAACAUGUCUGAAGUUCAGAAGAACCUUGAUAUUCUUUGGACGACAGUGUCGGGCCAUUUGUGGAAGGAGGCUGGAAAAUAAUAAUGUGAAGCAUGGGAUAUGCUGUUUGAUGACAACAUAAAAG
rnacentral:misc_RNA from 1 species